UACGUAGGGUGCGAGCGUUAAUCGGAAUUACUGGGCGUAAAGCGUGCGCAGGCGGUUUUGUAAGCCAGAUGUGAAAUCCCCGGGCUUAACCUGGGAAUGGCAUUUGGGACUGCAAGGCUGGAGUUUGGCAGAGGAGACUGGAAUUCCCGGUGUAGCAGUGAAAUGCGUAGAUAUCGAGAGGAACACCAGUGGCGAAGGCGAGUCCCUGGACAGAUCCUGACGCUGAGGCACGAAAGCUAGGGGAGCAAACAGG
rnacentral:rRNA from 1 species